rnacentral:rRNA from 1 species
GGUUAAGCGACUAAGCGUACACGGUGGAUGCCCUGGCAGUCAGAGGCGAUGAAGGACGUGCUAAUCUGCGAUAAGCGUCGGUAAGGUGAUAUGAACCGUUAUAACCGGCGAUUUCCGAAUGGGGAAACCCAGUGUGAUUCGUCACACUAUCGUUAACUGAAUACAUAGGUUAACGAAGCGAACCGGGGGAACUGAAACAUCUAAGUACCCCGAGGAAAAGAAAUCAACCGAGAUUCCCCCAGUAGCGGCGAGCGAACGGGGAGCAGCCCAGAGUCUGAAUCAGCUUGUGUGUUAGUGGAACGGUCUGGAAAGUCCGACGGUACAGGGUGAUAGUCCCGUACACCAAAAUGCACAGGUUGUGAACUCGAAGAGUAGGGCGGGACACGUGGUAUCCUGUCUGAAUAUGGGGGGACCAUCCUCCAAGGCUAAAUACUCCUGACUGACCGAUAGUGAACCAGUACCGUGAGGGAAAGGCGAAAAGAACCCCGGCGAGGGGAGUGAAAAAGAACCUGAAACCGUGUACGUACAAGCAGUGGGAGCCUCUUUAUGGGGUGACUGCGUACCUUUUGUAUAAUGGGUCAGCGACUUAUAUUCUGUAGCAAGGUUAACCGUAUAGGGGAGCCGAAGGGAAACCGAGUCUUAACUGGGCGUUAAGUUGCAGGGUAUAGACCCGAAACCCGGUGAUCUAGCCAUGGGCAGGUUGAAGGUUGGGUAACACUAACUGGAGGACCGAACCGACUAAUGUUGAAAAAUUAGCGGAUGACUUGUGGCUGGGGGUGAAAGGCCAAUCAAACCGGGAGAUAGCUGGUUCUCCCCGAAAGCUAUUUAGGUAGCGCCUCGUGAAUUCAUCUUCGGGGGUAGAGCACUGUUUCGGCUAGGGGGUCAUCCCGACUUACCAACCCGAUGCAAACUGCGAAUACCGAAGAAUGUUAUCACGGGAGACACACGGCGGGUGCUAACGUCCGUCGUGAAGAGGGAAACAACCCAGACCGCCAGCUAAGGUCCCAAAGUCAUGGUUAAGUGGGAAACGAUGUGGGAAGGCACAGACAGCCAGGAUGUUGGCUUAGAAGCAGCCAUCAUUUAAAGAAAGCGUAAUAGCUCACUGGUCGAGUCGGCCUGCGCGGAAGAUGUAACGGGGCUAAACCAUGCACCGAAGCUGCGGCAGCGACACUAUGUGUUGUUGGGUAGGGGAGCGUUCUGUAAGCCGUUGAAGGUGUGCUGUGAGGCAUGCUGGAGGUAUCAGAAGUGCGAAUGCUGACAUAAGUAACGAUAAUGCGGGUGAAAAACCCGCACGCCGGAAGACCAAGGGUUCCUGUCCAACGUUAAUCGGGGCAGGGUGAGUCGACCCCUAAGGCGAGGCCGAAAGGCGUAGUCGAUGGGAAACAGGUUAAUAUUCCUGUACUUGGUGUUACUGCGAAGGGGGGACGGAGAAGGCUAUGUUAGCCGGGCGACGGUUGUCCCGGUUUAAGCAUGUAGGCGGAGGUUCCAGGUAAAUCCGGUACCUUUUUAACGCUGAGGUGUGAUGACGAGGCACUACGGUGCUGAAGUAACAAAUGCCCUGCUUCCAGGAAAAGCCUCUAAGCAUCAGGUAACACGAAAUCGUACCCCAAACCGACACAGGUGGUCAGGUAGAGAAUACCAAGGCGCUUGAGAGAACUCGGGUGAAGGAACUAGGCAAAAUGGUGCCGUAACUUCGGGAGAAGGCACGCUGAUAUGUAGGUGAAGUGAUUUACUCAUGGAGCUGAAAUCAGUCGAAGAUACCAGCUGGCUGCAACUGUUUAUUAAAAACACAGCACUGUGCAAACACGAAAGUGGACGUAUACGGUGUGACGCCUGCCCGGUGCCGGAAGGUUAAUUGAUGGGGUUAUCCGUAAGGAGAAGCUCUUGAUCGAAGCCCCGGUAAACGGCGGCCGUAACUAUAACGGUCCUAAGGUAGCGAAAUUCCUUGUCGGGUAAGUUCCGACCUGCACGAAUGGCGUAAUGAUGGCCAGGCUGUCUCCACCCGAGACUCAGUGAAAUUGAACUCGCUGUGAAGAUGCAGUGUACCCGCGGCAAGACGGAAAGACCCCGUGAACCUUUACUAUAGCUUGACACUGAACACUGGUCCUUGAUGUGUAGGAUAGGUGGGAGGCUUUGAAGUGUGGACGCCAGUCUGCAUGGAGCCAUCCUUGAAAUACCACCCUUUAAUGGCUGGUGUUCUAACGUGGACCCGUUACCCGGGUUGCGGACAGUGUCUGGUGGGUAGUUUGACUGGGGCGGUCUCCUCCUAAAGAGUAACGGAGGAGCACGAAGGUUAGCUAAUCCUGGUCGGACAUCAGGAGGUUAGUGCAAAGGCAUAAGCUAGCUUGACUGCGAGAGUGACGGCUCGAGCAGGUGCGAAAGCAGGUCUUAGUGAUCCGGUGGUUCUGAAUGGAAGGGCCAUCGCUCAACGGAUAAAAGGUACUCCGGGGAUAACAGGCUGAUACCGCCCAAGAGUUCAUAUCGACGGCGGUGUUUGGCACCUCGAUGUCGGCUCAUCACAUCCUGGGGCUGAAGUAGGUCCCAAGGGUAUGGCUGUUCGCCAUUUAAAGUGGUACGCGAGCUGGGUUUAGAACGUCGUGAGACAGUUCGGUCCCUAUCUGCCGUGGGCGCUGGAGAAUUGAGGGGGGCUGCUCCUAGUACGAGAGGACCGGAGUGGACGCAUCACUGGUGUUCGGGUUGUCAUGCCAAUGGCAUUGCCCGGUAGCUAAAUGCGGAAGAGAUAAGUGCUGAAAGCAUCUAAGCACGAAACUUGCCCCGAGAUGAGUUCUCCCUGAGACUAUAAGUCUCCUGAAGGAACGUUAAAGACGAUGACGUUGAUAGGUCGGGUGUGUAAGCGUAGCGAUACGUUGAGCUAACCGAUACUAAUGAACCGUGAGGCUUAACCUU